GAAAUACCACCCUUUAAUGUUUGAUGUUCUAACGUGGACCCGUUACCCGGGUUGCGGACAGUGUCUGGUGGGUAGUUUGACUGGGGCGGUCUCCUCCUAAAGAGUAACGGAGGAGCACGAAGGUUGGCUAAUCCUGGUCGGACAUCAGGAGGUUAGUGCAAUGGCAUAAGCCAGCUUGACUGCGAGCGUGACGGCGCGAGCAGGUGCGAAAGCAGGUCAUAGUGAUCCGGUGGUUCUGAAUGGAAGGGCCAUCGCUCAACGGAUAAAAGGUACUCCGGGGAUAACAGGCUGAUACCGCCCAAGAGUUCAUAUCGACGGCGGUGUUUGGCACCUCGAUGUCGGCUCAUCACAUCCUGGGGCUGAAGUAGGUCCCAAGGGUAUGGCUGUUCGCCAUUUAAAGUGGUACGCGAGCUGGGUUUAGAACGUCGUGAGACAGUUCGGUCCCUAUCUGCCGUGGGCGCUGGAGAACUGAGGGGGGCUGCUCCUAGUACGAGAGGACCGGAGUGGACGCAUCACUGGUGUUCGGGUUGUCAUGCCAAUGGCACUGCCCGGUAGCUAAAUGCGGAAGAGAUAAGUGCUGAAAGCAUCUAAGCACGAAACUUGCCCCGA
rnacentral:rRNA from 1 species